GCCACCGCUCACCUAUCAGGGGCUUGCGAGCGGUGCUUCCGGUACCGGCUCAGGGAGUCGGAUCCGCGGUCUGUGGACCUGGGCGCCCCUGGGGAGAGCGACUUUCUGUGGGGCGGUGAGACCAGAGAUAUCCUUUAUCAGAAAGGAUGGAGUUGGGAAAAGGAAAACUUCUCAGGACUGGACUGAAUGCACUGUAUCAAGCAGUACACCCAAUUCAUGGCCUUGCCUGGACUGAUGGGAAUCAGAUAGUUCUGACCGACUUAUACCUUCACAGAGGAGAGGCCAUGUUUGGGGACUCAACGGUCAUUGGACAACUUGACCAUGUGUGUGGGGUGUCCUGGGCCCCACCUCGUACAGCCGACACACUGGCUCUGCUCGCUGUCCAGCACAACAAGCAUGUCACUGUGUGGCAGCUGUGUCCUAGAACUUCAGAGACAAGCAAAUGGUUCAUGUCUCAGACCUGUGAGAUUAAACAGUCAUUCCCUGUCCUUCCCCAGGGCUGUGUAUGGCACCCAAAAAGUGCUGUCCUGACUGUGUUGACUGCACAGGAUGUCUCUGUUUUCCAUAAUGUUCACCGUGACAGUUCCCAGGUCAAAGUGGACAUCAAUCCCCAAGGCCUCAUUCACUGUGCGUGUUGGACCCAGGAUGGCCAGAGGCUGGUGGUGGUGGCAGGCAGCAGCCUGCAUUCUUAUAUAUGGGACAGUGUGCAGAAGACUCUUCACAGGUGCGCCUUCUGCCCUGUGUUUGAUGUGGACAGCUGUGUGCGUGCAGUGUGCGCCACGGUGGACUCACAGGUCGCUAUAGCCACUGAGCUUCCAUUAGCUAAGAUUUGUGGCUUAAAUUCAUCUGGAACCUUUGACAUUCCCCCUAGUGCUGAAGACACUUGUCUGUAUACUUUACCAGUUGGUGAUGAAGGCUCCUCUGAAACACGAGUUUCUCCCUUUUCUUCGUCCUCUUCUGACCCCCUGGAUCUAACUCAUAUACACUUCAAUAGAUUUAAAUCUGAAGAUAGUUCUCUUAUUUAUCUAAGAAAAAAGGACUGCUUGACAGGAACUGGCCUGGAUUCAUCCCAUUUGGUCCUCUUGACCUUUGAGAAGGAGGUUACCCAGAACGGAAAGGUCACCAUCCCUGGCAUUCUGGUUCCUGACCUGAUAGCAUUUAAUCUUAAAGCACAGGUACUCGCAGUGGCUUCCAAUUCGUGUAAUGUAAUUUUUAUCUAUUCUCUCAUUCCCUCACUUAUGCCACAUAUCCAGCAAAUUCAAUUAGAGAAUAAUGACAGACCGAAAGGCAUAUGUUUCUUGACAGAUAAAUUAUUAUUAAUUUUGAUAGGAAAACAAAAAUCCACUGAUUCGGCAUUUCCUCCUUCUACAAAAUCUGAUCAGUAUAUCAUUCGUUUGAUCAUUAGAGACAUAACGUUGGAAAAAGAAUCACCAGUGACACCGAGUGAAAACCAGAGUGGGUACUCUGCUUUCAAUACUCCGUUAAAUAAAGCAAAUAGAGAAAAGCUACUUGAAAGUCUUUCCUCAGCUUUUUAUCAACAAAACAGAGAGCUCUUAUUAACAACUAAUAUCGGGAAUCAAAGUGGAAGGCCUGGAAGGACCCUUAUUAAAGAAAUCAAAAGUCCUCCAUCCCGCAUCUGUGAUGGCGCCACAGCCCUCGAACGUGUAGGUGCCGGGCCCGUUACCCAGUCAGGAGCACUGCCCAGACCCAGCAGCACACCAGACCCCACCAGUACCAUGGAGCCUCCUACCUUGCAAGGGGAGAAGGAAAGUUAUCAGCUCUCUAAGGAACUGGAGGUUUUAUCUAGGACCCUGAUCGAAGUUCAUCGACGUCUAUCUGAACUCACAGACUUUCUACGUAACGGAAAGAAAUCCCCUUCUGUUUAUCCCCUCUCCGAGGACCUGCCUUACGUUCACAUCACCUGCCAGGUAACGUUUGCUUUGAGCAGCUACCACUGGCUGCUGCAGCCAGCGGGGACUGCAAGAGAAAUGUGUUCACGAGGAAGAUGGUUCUAACUGAACUUCAGUGACCUGGCCAUGUUAUGUUCAGAAACCUUAUUUUGUAGGUCCUGUUGUUGAAAAAAGAGCUGUGCUUCUCUGCAAUGGCAAACUAAGACUCAGUACAGUUCAGCAGACUUUUGGCCUCUCUCUCAUUGAAAUGCUGCAUGGCUCCCACUGGAUCCUUCUCUGUGACGAUAGUGAAGGCUUCAUCCCCUUGACCUUCACAGCCACACAGGAAAUAACCAUAAGAGACGGCAGGUCAGAUGUCUUUAGAGACUGUGUAUCAGAGUCUUGAUAUUGGCCUUUCUCUUGAAGUCUUUAGCCAUAUACUGCCCAAAGCGUAGAUACUACUGGCUGUUCUAACCAUUUUGGCUGUAUGGCCUGAUACUUGUUUGCAGAGUAUUUGCUGCAUUGCCUUUCAGAUGAGGUCAUUACAAACAAGACGUGUUUUCCAAGGUAGACUCUUCCCCAGCCAGGAUUUGUGUUGUUGCUGGGAGGUGAAGCAUUUGCUGUGGCUGGCUCAGUGCCCCGAAGCCCAUCCCCACCCCCACCCCCUCCCCUGCCCCCACUGACACCCGCUGCCCAGCAGCAGAGCCCAUUUUUUGUUAGUUGGCUCCAAAAGUGGUUAUUUAUGUUUCCAUGUCUUAUGUGGUUUUGUCUGUGGGCAGAAUUCCCAGCAUAAAACAAUAUUAUGGUGCCAUAUGGAUUGUGUUUUAUGGUUUCUCUGAGGCUUUCUGUCCCUUGCCCAAACUGGUGUUAAAGCUCUUAGAAGCACUUAAAUGGUACCUCAGCGUUGUUAUAGAUCUUUUUCUCGGCUUAAGAUUGAGUGUGAGGCGUGCUGGAGAGCAUCUGCUCCGGCAUAUCUUUAAGCCCCAAACCAGCGGGAAUCAGCAGAGCUCAAAGGAAGACAAAAAAAAUCUGCUCCCAGGGCUACCUGGAACAGGAAGUAGUUAUAAUUUGGCUGGACCUCCCAGGAUAUUUUCUCUUUAUUUUGGGUGCACCCACAGCCACGUGGAAGGCCUGAAGGCCAGAGAUCAAACCAUUGCUACAGCUGUAGCCUGAGCCACAGCAAUGACCGAUGAGGGAGCUGGGACCUUCCAGGAUUUGAACCUAACCCUCUCACUUCCCUAGAAAAUUCUGGCUGACAAAGGUCCAGAAUCUCCUAAAAACUGGCCCUUGGCAAAUUUCAAAUAAAAUUUCAAGGGCCUUGACUCCCGCUGGACCCCACUUGAGUGUGUCCUGAUAUUUGUUGCACGAGGCCACAGUUGAGGCCUACGGCAUGACUUUGUACUGUUGCCCCUCCUGGUUUUCUCUCCGAUAGGUUCCCCACCACCACCAUUUUGGGAUCAUAAAAAUGUCCUGUUUUUUUCUCCUAGUAAUCAAUUCCCUUAGAUAAAUUGUCACUUUAAUUUUGAAAUUUUCCUUCUCCCCCCAUUCAAGUCGUGGAGACCAGCAUAGAGUCUAUGAGAGAAACUGUUUCAGGAAGUUGGAGGUCUCACUGAACCGGAUGUAAUUUAUUGUCAUGGGCCAAAGUGGCAGCUUAGUAUUGGGGAAAGAGCCCCGAUCCCAGCUCCAGAGAGACUCACCGCUCGCUCCUCACUGCCUUCAGACAGAAUCACGACCUUCAGUCACUGCAGCAUAACGAAUGGAUCCGUGCGUGGCGGGUCAGAACACAUCUGCAGAUAAAUUGUUUCAACCCUAGAAGCUCAUGUGCAUAGUAGCACAUACACUUCUUUUUCCCACUUUCUUUUAGAAUCAUCUGGAAAGAAAUAUGUUGUGUCCUUGAGGACUCCUGUCUUUUGCAGUUUAGGAAGGUGGGACUGGGAUAGGGAAGAAGCAAGGGCCCAUUUUGUGGUUGAAAUGCAUUAGAGAGCGGCUGGGAUAAUGGAAGCAGAGGCCACUUGUCUGGAAUCAGUCGCCUGAGAGCAGAGGCUGAGGACCUCUGUGGCCUGGCUCCAUUUUCAAAGGACGUAUCUGAGUGGAUUGAAAGCACACAACUGCGAACCCUCAAGAGGGGGGCUGGCGACCCUGUAGUAAGAUCAGUGUGGGUGCCUCAACGUGUAUCUUAUAAUCAUCAUUUUGUUGGUCAGGAUUCUGUGACCGAGGCUUCAGUAAAAUCAUUAACGGUU